GGAGACACCCAGCGGCGUCUCUUCCUCAGUUUCCCCCGGUGUUGGCAGCAGGAGGACGGUUAGCUGCCUCCCAGAAGCUCGCGCUGCGCUGGAGGUUGUGUGUCAUGUGGCUGUCAGGUGUGGGUCUGCAGGGACACUGUUGUGUCUGUGCUGCUUGUUGUCUCUCUCACUCUGUUGCUCUCUCACUCUCUCUACUCACACUCGCCCUCAUGCUGUAAAUCUAGAGGAGGCUGCAGGUCACAGAGGCUGUUAUGGGAGGUGAAUAUGUUCAUCAAUCAACCCAGUUUAACAAGUGAAGAAAUGAUUCAGCUCAACUCAUUAUGAAAUGUUAA